UAAAGUGCAACAUGUGCCGGUCGCAUAAGCGAGGCAAUCGGAGGCGAGGGAGAAGGAGUUUGAGGUCGCUCGUUUGGAAUUGCUCGAUUAAGGCCAUAGACUGCAGGCCCCGCUAUCAAAAGACUAUCGCACGAGAUACGUGCAGUGAAGUGCAGUGAUGCAUCGGGACUGCCGGCGCGGCGCGCGGUGACGUAUUCGCCGAAGAUCGGCGGAAAAUUUCGGAUCGACCAAAUUUCGCCGGGGCCGCGGGAUAACUGCCAAAGAUUUCAUCAUUUUUAUGCCAGUCGCGCGGAAACGGCGCCUUGUUUCAUGGUUACGUCGUUCUCGCGGGCGCGAAUAGGAUGGGACAGGACGAUUUUCAGAGAGGGCUGGCGAUAAUUGCACUGCCCCCGAGUGCAGCGGUAAAUCGUACAAAUGGUGCAGAAGAGAAAGAUUUUGUCGCUGGAAAUCGCUCGAUUAAGGCCAUAGACUGCAGGCGCUACCAAUCAGCUAUCAAAAAGCUAUCGAGCGUGUAAAAUGAAGCGCGGUGAUGCAUUGUGGAUGCGACAAACCGACGCGGAAGCUACCGAACGAUGGAUAAGAGAACUGACGUUAUAUAAAUCCGCUGCAAGUCUAACUGAAAUCGAUGCUAUCGUGCUAUUGCUGACAACGAUCGACAACGCAUAACUCAGAAAUUAUUAAAUACACAUCAAUAGACAUGUUGAGUCUCUCAAACUGACAGUAGGAUAAACCAAAUUUAGCAUGAAAAUGUUUCGUGCUCUAAUCAAACUUUGGUAGAAAUUUAAUGCAGUUUUCGAGCAGUUACUGAUCAGUUAACUUUCAUCCAGAAAGCGCACACUAUUAAAUAUCCCGCGCGGAAUUAAAUUCCUCGCCGUCUUGAUUGGAAAUAAAAGAUAGUUUAUACAAGGAAAGUAGGUUUGAAAUGAAGGAUAAUUCGAGGUUUGACUUGUUUCAACCGAGACAACGAUAAGCAAGGAGGUCCUCCCGUGAAUAAUUCUACUUAAAAAUCGCACCAAAGACCCGCAAUUUAGCUCGCUCCUUCCUCGCUUCUGACGUCAAUCAAGAUGGACGAUGGACAAACUAAUAAGGAUGCAUUGAUACUCUACACAAUAACUGGGCGGAUAUGUACGUAUAUAUUUCUACCGGGGUAAUUUAUUGGGACUUCAGAGAGAUAACGCUUGUUCGUGAUAUGCCUCGCGAAUUUUUCACUGUCACCCAUCGUGACAAUGAAUCGCGAAUAACCAUCGACAAAUGUAACACGAUAUUCGCAAAUUGAACGCGCGAUAGCGAGACGUGUGGCAAAGCACGCAAAAUAUGCAAACGACGAAAUGCCACGAUAUCGUCGGGUAAAGUAAGCGCGCGGAAACAAAGCUCAAGAGCCGUAGAGCAUCGGCUUUACAGUGCGAUCGGGAAAAAACGUGCCACUGUGUCUAGUCGCGAAUAAUUGAUCCAAGUCAUCCUUGAAGUCAACGAACAGCGGCACCAUUUUUAGCCGUCGAGUGGUGAACUUAGAUCGCACCGUGCGACCUAAUAUUCGUGGCGCGAUUCCGUUGACCGAUCGAUCGCUGUUGCACACACGCGCGAACGACUCUAUCUUACACUCUACGAUUUCGCCCUCUCGAUUGCUGCACGCCGUAAAAAUACCGCGAUGUGCUCGCUUUAAACGCGAAAAAACGCGUAGCAGAGAAAGGCCUAUCAAUUAUUUUAAGUCGCGGAAUAAUCGACGAGCCAAUCAACGGUUGGCAAUAAUCGACAACCGAUGCGUCGGAAAGCUGCCGCUCGUAAUAUCGAACGAGCAAUGAGAAAGUUUCGCGACGUGUCAAGAACACGACUUUCGUUCUUUCGUAGCGGUCAACAGCCGUAACUGUUGCGACAUCGCCAUUUUCACCUGCGCCGCUGCACAUACACCCUUGAGAGUGAGAGAGCGAGACUGACGACGUAUCACCCGCCGACACGAUUUACCAUUGUCGACUCGUACAUUCUUACGUCCACUCGGCGUGAUUUAACGUCGAAAAGCGAUCGCACGAGUUUAACUCAACUUCAAUUCGAUUAAACACAAGAAGAACAAUUCGUCAACUACAUCUGGCCUGUCAUAAAUACAACGGCCAGAUCUGUUCAUCCUUUCGAGUCUUCUCUCGUCUCCUACACUAGGUAAGAAAAAAAUGGUUGAUCUAACCAAAUUUAUAGCUGUUUUUUGCUCCAAUCAUAUUUUUUGGUUGUUCCAACACAAAAAUGGUAACAUGCAAUAUCAGGCUGUUAUCACUAAAACAUAGUGGUAGAAUUUCAUUAAAAAAAUUUUUCCUGACUAUAAAUUGUAGUAAUUGUUUCUCUAUAUAAUUAUAUAGUUACCAAAUAUUUUUUUCUCAAUGUAAUGUCUUAUUGACUCAAAGAGAAGAGGAACACGCAAUGUUCCACGUAUUAAACGUACAGAACAGAAGUAGAGACGAGUAUUACGCAUUGAUGAGAGAAGAAGCCAACGAGGUGGCUUCGAUGCUGAGGGUCGAGAAGCGGGAAAACUCGCGGCUUGGUCGGCCGGAAAUCGAGGAAAACAGGGAGAAGGCCGGGGUGAGGUAGAGGGAAGAGGGAGGAGGAGGAGGUCAGAGGACGGGAGUCAGAGAGAGAAAAUGCGAAGCGCUUGCGCGACUAGCUCGUUUCCAUGGCUUCGUAACGUUUCGCGUAGCAACACGAGGACUUUUGACCCCGUUCGAUUGUCCUUCGAAACGGAUCCGUGCGUCGAGGAAGCGAAGCGCAUCGCGGACCCGCGAUACCUCUUUUCCAUCAGCCUUACUAACGGAGUCGUCAUGCAGCGUGAUUCCGACUUGAAAUUUUCAUUCUAUGUACAUCGAUCUUGCAAAUGUCGUUAAGCUUGAAGGAUCAAUAAAGAAACUCGAUGUAUAACA